GAGAAAGAAACACAAGAACUGCUAAUUCUUAACUCCAUACAUAAAAAUAUGGCUUCCUCA
ensembl:Mt_tRNA